rnacentral:rRNA from 1 species
UACAGAGGUGGCAAGCGUUGUUCGGAAUUACUGGGGCGUAAAGGGCGCGUAGGCGGUUCGGUAAGUCCUGUGUGAAAUCCCUCGGCUCAACUGAGGAACUGCACGGGAGACUGCCGGGCUUGAGUUCGGGAGAGGGAAGCGGGAAGUUCCGGGUGUAGCAGUGAAAUGACGUAGAGAUCGGGAGGAACACCAGUGGCGAAGGCGACUACCUGGACGGUCACUGACGCUGAGACGCGAAAGCGUGGUAGCAAACAGG